AUCACUUCUCGGCCUUUUGGAUAAGAUCAAAGAGUAGUUUCUGUUCUUAUCACCUUAAUAUCUGAUACGGUCCCUCUUUGGCACCAUCGAUAUUAAAAUGAUUUUUAGAACGGGGCGAAGAGUUAGAGGCUUGCUCCACCUUUGCCACGGAUUGGCCUGGUGUUACAGUGCUUCCAGGGAUCAGCCAAUCUUUA